CUCUUUACUGAUUUAUUUCUCUUUAUUUCUCAUGGAAUGAUUAUUUCAGUGAAAAUGUAUGGUGUAACCACCAGUGCUUAGCUAACAGAGAAAUCUGUGAAAGUAGAAAUACCAGAUUUUAAAUCUAAGAGGGAAAGUAAAAACAAUAAAAAACACAAUGAAGUCCACUCAGAAGUGGUUUUUCAGUUUAUCAAUCUCAAAAUUGUGAAGGAAUUCAUAUCCCACUAAACUUGCACAGAAUUUGGAGACCAAGCUCUCUAGUUCAUGUAAACAUCUCUAGUCCUAAUUGCCAAGCAUCUAUUUAAUUUUAGAGCUAUUUGAUAUCUUAAAUUUUAUCCUGCUUCUAAUAUUCUAGCACAUCAAUUUGUAUCUGGCGAAAGGAGCAGAAACCCACGAUUUUGACAUGCCAGUACAGACAAUGGAAAAGCUGGACGGCAAGAAUCCUGCGCUUUCCGACUUUGCUCCGUACAGCACACGUACCUGUUAGCAUGCCGGUUGCCAAGAGCACCACCUCGUGCUCAGAACGCAAAAAGCACUUACUGUGACGAUCAACACCGGUAAGGGACCGCGGAGGGGCUUGGCAUUACUCAUGUGAGGAUUCUGUCUCGGCUAUUUCCUUUAAUGCUAAUAUGAAACGAAAUUACUCGGCUCAUGGUGAAAAAAUGAUUUUGCAUCUUGCAUGCAGGUCAAUAAAUAUAGCCAAGUAUUCUAAAAGCCUGAUUUGUGUCACACAUUAUUUACAUGUAUUUUGCACAGCAAGGUAAGACAUUAAUAUACCAGUGCUUAUUUUCUGCUAAAAUUAGCCUUUCUGAAUACAGCACUAUUCCUUGUCUCAUUGAGGAGAUAACUAGGAAAGAACUCAAGUCAUGACCAUUUCAUGAGGAAUUUUUCAAAGUACAUAUCUCAGUUUCUGUUUUCUUCACCAUGCCCAAUUACUACACUAAAUGGGUGCUAAGGUCAUAGAGCAGAUUCUCCUGGAAACUCUGCUAAGGCAGAGGGAAAUUAAGGACAAAGACAUAUUCCAACAGAGUAAACCAUUUCUGAUUGCUUAUGAGCAGAAUACAGAAAUGGAUAUUUUUAUGGUCCAGGUAUGUUACACAACCAGGGACCAUUAUAUUAAGUUUCUAAAUUAUGUUAAAUUCUUACUUGUCAUUCUAACAUAUUUGAACAAAGAAGGUUGCAUGAUGUUGGUGAGAAGUUUAGGCAAGAAAUUUCAGUCCAGGAGAUCUUGAUGGUGUUCUCAGCUUCUUCAUUGUACAGGCAAAUUGCUUUAUUUCUCUGUGAACCAAUUUUCCUGUUUCUAAGUUGGGGCAAUUUGCAAGAAUUUAAAAGAAUCUGUUCACAUUGUGAAAUUCAGUCUGAAAAGACUGAGGAAAGGUUUACAGGGUGGUAAUGCUUUUCCGGUUUAUGUUGUACUAUUGCCUGAUAGAGAAUUUCUUCAUCUUUCAAUUUGUGAAUCUCUGCCAGUGAUGCCUUAAAAAUUGUAAAAUAGGAAUGAUGUAUUUUUCUCUUAUUACUGUGCUAUUCCCUCCUUCCCAUACACAGGACUCAAAAAUUUAAGUGACAGUAUCUUUCCAUCAGCACAAUUAUUUUGAUUUGAAUGAAAUUUUAGAUUCAGCUGGAAACACAAUCUGCUUCUGCAGGCUUCUCACAGAUUUAGCUACAGCUCCUUUGAUUAAGCUACAGCACCUUUCCCUCUUAAAAGCUUUUCAUCUUUCAAACACAGGAAAAAAUAUUCUUUCUUGACUGUUACAGGUGACCAUGGAGUACUUGUAUUUGAGUGGAUAAAGGGAAUACACAUUUGAAAUCAGAUACAUUUAAUAUUUACUUCUUUCUUUCUCCAACAUAUGUGUACUGUUUGCUUUCUCCUGACUUUAAACUCAUUCCCACCUUGUGUGUUGUUUAUUCCUACUUCUUUGGUAAUUGAUAUAUUAUUAGUCUAGCCAUUAUACUAGUAUCUCAGCUGUUGAUACUUAAUGUGUUAUUUCUCUUCAAAAAAGUCAGUGGUUGCUGUUUACAAUAAAAGAGAUCACAAGCUGUAUCAGAACCCAAAAUUUCCAGUGAUUGUAUUUCCAAACACUAGUUUUUUGCCACAUGGAAAGUUUUUCCAUCCACACAACCAUUUCCUCUGUUUAUGGAAAUGAGGUAAAACUAGAUUUAGAACACUGACAUGGAAAAGACAGUAGUGAUUCUAGAGAGAAUCCUAAUCACAAGAGCUCUUGAAAAUAAAACUGCAGACCCCACCAUGCCUGACAAGGUGCCUUUUGACUGAAGCUUUGCAUCCAAGCAAUGGUUCUUGCAUGACUUUUGUACUAUAAAUGGAAAAAAUGGGACCUGAAGUUAGAGGAGUGCAGAUAUUUGAUGCAACACUAUAAUAAUAGAGCAAAGAAUAGUAUCAAAUUCUUGGAUCUGAGCACAAAUCAUGCCUUCAGAUUCAGAUCAUUACUUCAAUAUACAGGUAAACUACAGAUGUGUAUCUGAAGAGAGAAUUGGUAUUCCACUUGAUGAAAACAUUUAUAAUUCAGGUCCCAGAAAACUAAGAUCAACAAACUAUCAUAAGGAUUCAAAA